rnacentral:lncRNA from 1 species
GUGAUUUUUGUGUAGUACAAGUUACUUUAUAAAGCCAUACGUGGUACUUAAUCAAAACUUUCUGACAAUAUGCGGAUACUUCAGUUACAACUGCAUCUUCCAGCACUCCUAUGGAGUGCAUAAAUAUUGCCAGCUGAGACUCAGAUAAGAGGAAGCUGAAGAUAAUGUCUGAGAGCACGGAAAUCCGUGCGCAGGUUCAGAUUAGCCCACACUUUUUCAUGCUGAGGAAACUCCAGUUAACACAUCAGAAUCAGAAGCUACAUCUCACUUUGAUGAUAUACUAGGAUUGCACUGGGAUGGCUCUCUGCCUUCAUGACAGCAAGGAGAUUUUGCAUUUUAUGAUGGUUUUUUUGUGCUUUUCAGCCUUCUUACAUAAGUACUAAUUUUUAGAGCUGGGAAAAUACAAGUUGUUCAGAAUCACCCCAGACAACAUUCAGCUUCUAUAAAUGGAUUAUUAGCAGCUUUGUGGUAUCCUUCAAAGUUCAACUGGAUAAAUGAAAAUACACUUGCAUGGUAACCUUUAAACGAUGGCUGCCUUCUCGUCUCAUAAAACAGUAAUUGAAACAGCACAGAAAAUGCCAGAAACAUGAGUGACCAUGGCUGUUAUUUCUUUACCUACUUUGAAAAGAUGUUGAUCCAUAAAUGUAAGGAUACUGAAAACUUGCCCGAAGGUACUUCUAGGAUGUUUGUGGCCCAUCUAUUUUGGUUUUCCAUGUACCUCUGCUUCUACAUGACCUGAAUUCACAUGUAAGCUUAGCAUUGUGGGUCCAAUUUAUUUAUUAUUAUUAUUAUUAUUUUUUGUUGU